UUCCGUUUCCGUUUCGUGUCCCCGGGACCGGGCAUUUUGCUUCGAUUUUAUCGCUUGCUUUUUGCUUUACAUUUCUUUGAAAUUGAAACUUUUCUUUAUAGGGGGCUAUGUUGCUGUUUCGCGUGCUUAAGAUAUUUGUGAUUGUGUCCAGGGUUGCGGCUUCCUUGAGGAACUCGAUAUUUCGUAUUUAACCAAUCUUGAAUCGCAGACAUUUCUCGAGGCUUGGAAUUAAAAUAAUAUUUUUGUUCGCGAUGUGCGGCGCUCGCUGAAAAACUUCGUCGGGGGAGACUCCUUGAAGUUAUCAACCGAGUUGGACGACUACUGCGCCUGCGCACUGCGCGGAAUACGAUCUAUUCUCACCGGCAAAUCUUCUGGAGUUUAUUCGCGAAAUAGGCUCACAGUAGCUGAUAACGAAGGAAUUAUGGACGAAGAUAAUUCAAGCAUGUACAAUUGUGAAAUUGUAACCGAUAGCGAAGUCCGUCGCUUGACACCGCCAGGAUUUUUACACGACCUCGUGUAACAUGGACUCUGAUCGCAUCAUUCUCUCACUGUCCUGUGACCGGUCGUCAUUUUUUAUGCCGCAAUCAGCUGUCGACGAAUAUCGGAGACAUGCGAUUUCAAUGAAAACCUAAUGGAAUCAUGCAAUGGAUAUUACGACGUAUGCAGAAUUCGGUCUCACGCCUCGAUUCAUCAUCCGUUUUCCAUUUCUUGCGAACGUGAUCGGCCGCUUGAAUAAAAUUAACACGCGAACUUUGGUGCCGGCGUUACGUCACAGUCCAAUCGGCUAUGAUUCACUAUGCACCGAGCAUAUCGUAUAACACGGCUUUUCAAGGCUCUCAUACUACGACCGCCCGCAGUCCUCGAUAUCAAGUGCCGGUUUUGUAAUUAUCACCACAGAAUUCAAUUAACAGUUCUUCAUUAGAACGGCAGAGUAUUAACGAAAAUUGCAGCCUCGCAUGUAUAUAACGAUAGUAGUUCCGCGAGGACAAGUAAUCGCGGAGCAAAUAUCGGUGACCAGGGAAGAAGUAUCGUCGGUGGCUGACGCAGCAGCGAAUCAAAUAUUUAUUAGAUAUCGUACGUCCCUGGCCUUCUGAAAGGAAUCAUAAACGUUGGUGGCCUUUCCAUUAAUGUUAAAAUCGGGACGCCGUUUUAUUUACGCCGGACUAGCGAAAAGUAUCAAUGGUCGCCCACGUAAGUUCGUGUAGAAGUGCAACAGGCGCUGAAUUUAGCGCAGACAGCGAGAGAGUCGCGCCAAGGUGGGGAGCCAAGCCAGUGUGUUUAUGCCGUUGGCCGCGGACCUUGCCGGUUUAGUUCCAAGAGACAAAUUACGCGCAGGCUCGCGAGAGAGUUGCUGAACCCGUUCCUGGCGGAUAGUUAAAUCGUAGGAGGCCUGCGGAGACAGAACGAACCGCGCAGGAUACAGCAAAACAUCCCUCCGUUUAUGCCAAAAAACGUUGAAACGUGUGUCGUUGACCUGCCUGAUGCACGACGUACGCGCGUUAUACGACGUCAGCGCCGGUGUGACGAGCUUAGCGCCGUCUAUGACCAUUAUUCUCUGUUUACGAGAGACACGGUAGAGGCAGGUGGUCACAUGGGAUUCUACACUGUUGUCCUGGAUCCGUGGCCGCCGACGAUGCGUAAUCUCUCCAGCUGGAUAACAAAACGACACGAAUUCCCCGUACAACCGCCGUUACGCGCUAGAGAAACCGCAAAGCGUUUGAUUUAGCUCUGUCGGUUUGCUGCGUGGGCGGCUCGCCAUCUCUCCGUUCACUCUCCGCCGCUGCUUUACCACCGACCAAUCGUCUGGUGACGUCACACACCGUAGAAGGGGAAUAUAAAACCUGUUCGACCGUCUCCUUCCUUUUUUUCCCCCGUAGUUCCCGUGUCCGAUUCGUUCUGUCCUAUCUCUCGUCUAUUUCAUCCGACGCCGAGUAAAAUAAUAUUCGAAAUGGUAAACAGUGAGUUUAACCUGUUUAAAUACGUAUCAACUACGCAUAUCUCCGAAUAUAAAAUAUCCUAUUUGCAAUUAGAACACUUCGUAAUACGUGUUUACCGAACGUUUGCGUCACAUCUCAAAUAUUAUUUUACCUGCGCCAGGCUUGCGGUCGAAAGGCAAAACAAGCUGAAUUACAUUUUUAGACGAUUUCUGUUUACUUCUCGACCCCCCCCCCCGGGUCAGGAAGACAGUUUUUUUACUUUUUCAAAGGAAAUGCAUGAAAAGCAAUUUUUACGCCGCGACGAUAUUGUAUAGACACUGCAUAGAACCAUAGCAAUUUUAAUUAUGAAAAAUAAUUUGUGCUUUCUGUAUGCACAGUGUUGUUAUUUAUAGCUAUUUGUUUACAGCUAUUUUAUAUAGAAAAAUUACCAACCGAAUGACAAAUUUUAAAUAAGAUGUUAAACUGUAUAACUAUGAGUAACAACAAUUUUUUCAGGCGGGUUAAAAUAUGUCACGCUAUACAUAAAUAGCUAAGCAAAAGAUGGGACAGUUUUUAACCCGCCUUACUAUCGUUAUUAAUAUUACAGAUACAAUAUUAACCAUUUCAAUAUAUAUAUAUGGGAGAAGGUAUUCGAAGGUAUAUAUAUAUAUAUACCUUCUCCCAUACCAUUCAAUUUUGCUGUAUAGUUUUGUUAUAUUAAUAUUAUUUGUACCGUUUA